rnacentral:rRNA from 1 species
AUUGAACGCUGGCGGCAGGCCUAAUACAUGCAAGUCGAACGAGUGGCGGACGGGUGAGUAAUGUCUGGGAAACUGCCUGAUGGAGGGGGAUAAAUACUGGAAACGGUAGCUAAUACCGCAUACCAUCAGAUGUGCCCAGAUGGGCCUAGCUUGUUGGUGGGGUAACGGCUCACCAAGGCGACGAUCCCUAGCUGGUCUGAGAGGAUGAUCGGCCACACUGGAACUGCGACACGGUCCAGACUCCUACGGUAGGCAGCAGUGGGGAAUAUUGCACAAUGGGCGCAAGCCUGAUGCAGCCAUGCCGCGUGUAUGAAGAAGGCAUUGGGGUUGUAAUGUACUUUCAGCGGGGAGGCGUUACCCGCAGAAGAAGCACCGGCUAACUCCGUGCCAGCAGCCGCGGUAAUAC